rnacentral:rRNA from 1 species
AGGUCGUAGUCAAACCCCCACAGCCACGCGAACUCUAAGUCAGCCACGAAUAGGCUAUCCCAACUAACGGCGGGAAAGACUCCACGGAGGGUGUAAGACCCGUGUGGGCGAGUGUCAAAGCUGUGUGGGCUCGGCCUUUUUUCCCUGAGAGUCGCGUUGCUUGAGCAUGCAGCGCUAAGCAGGUCGUAAACUCGAUCUAAGGCUAAAUAUCUCCACAGAACCGAUAGCGAACAAGUACCGUGAGGGAAAGUUGAAAAGCACUCUGGAGAGAGAGUCAAAAGACCGUGAAACCGCUCAGAGUAUAAGCCCAUGGCAGCUUGGAAGGCAUAUCGCUAGCGGGGCAUCGCACUUCCUUCGCGGGGAGUCGGUGUUACCUUGCUUCUGUUGUGGCUCGUUAUGGUAGGGGGGUCAAGUCCACAUCCCGCCGUCGUGUGGGGAGUUCUUGGGCGUGUCGUGGUUUUGCGGUUGACUUCGGUUGGCCGUAGGGCUCUUCGCGCUUGGGGCUUCUUUAGACACGGACGUUCAGACUCAGAGGCAAGACGCGAUAAACAGCCCACCACGGCACGUUGUGAGGUCACCCUCAGGCUCAGCUUUUGAUUGUGGUCCUUGACGCCGAGCAAGCACUAUGCGUGUCGCAGAUGUUCCUAACCUGACAACGCUUGUCGGACAGUGGAACGACACGCGCUCAACAGUCAGGACCGGGCAAUGACAGAGUUCUGGUUCGAUCCUCUUGCAACGAGCCGGCUUCUGGCCGAAUUCCGAUGCUCAGGUCUCCCGCAUGUGCCGCGGGGAGAUCGCCUUGACGGUCUGGACCUUCACAAGUCCUCUCAGUCGGGCAACGGAAAAAGUGGUGGUAAAGUCCAAGCCC